UACAUCUAUUACUGAAAUUAACAAUCUUCAGUGUUUUAAGUGUGAAUAAUAUUCGUUAAUAUUUAUUGGAUUAUAUCUUAACAAUUGGAUAUUUUAUGCCCUUCACGCAAGACAUCCACGUCACAAACUUGCUCCUUAUUAUUAUCUAAUUCUAUCAGUAAUUCGCUCUCAUCACCUCGAAGAUAAUUCAUUACUUUAAGGAAAAGAAGAUUUUGUGUUUUACAUGUAAGUUUAAAUAUUGUGAAAUAUACUAUAGGAUUGACGUAAGUAAGUUAAUAUUACGUAAAAAUAAAAUGAUUAUAAAACGA